GUUAAAAUAACAGAUUUGUGUCCCUUCCUGUAGGUUCUGGUGGGAGGAGGGAGACGCGGACGGAUGGGAGGCGCCUUGGGUAGGAGGAGGACGGAGAGAAAGGGUCUCCAACAGCGGACCUUUGUCCCCUAAUGCAAAUGAGCUUGUCCCAAACAGGGCGCAGACAAUGCGAGUCUGGUCCUUGCUGCGCGCGGAGCCCCCUGACAGCGAGGUUGUUAACCGACGACGACGUUUCUUGCAUUCUUUCUCUCACACCCAAGACAGAGGCUGACAGCUGAGAAUUUUAAACAACCAUUCUGGGUAUGUUUUCCUUAUUUUGUGUAUUCACAUUGCUUCUCCGUAUGGGAGUGGGGGUUGGAAGCCUAGUGCCUUCAUUUAGAUAUUUUAGAUCCUUCAUUUAGAGAUUUCCUGUGUUUGAAAAAGUCUUCUGUUCUGAUUGCUAAACAAAGUAGACAUUAGAGGUGCUCAGCCACAGCAUUUGGAAUGAUUAGCGAGCACAGAAAUCAGUUUUGUAUUGUUUUUUCUUUUUUUUUGGGGGGGGGGGGUACUGGGAAUUGAACUCAGGGGCCCUUGACCACUGAGCCCCAUCCCAGCCCUAUUUUGUAUUUUAUUUAGAUACCGGGUCUCACUGAGUUGCUGAGUGCCUCGCUUUUGCUGAGGCUGGCUUUGAACUCGCAAUCCUCCUGCCUCAGCCUCCUGAGCCUCUGGGAUGACAAGUGUGCACCACGGAGCAAAGUGGACAGGACAGAGGUCUUGGGCUGACAUGUCUCAGACUCUCGGGGUGCCCUAGGAAAUGAGCCUGCCUUUGCUACUCUGUAAAGUGGGUCUGUCACAACGUUUUCCAAAGGCUGCAAAUCAAGAACUCCUACAUCCAGGCCAUUGACCCAGUUUUAUGUCCUUCCAGCUGCAGCCACAUAGGACUGACAGCCAUUCUUUCUUCUGAGAUAGCCAUCAAAGGCAUGGAUGUUUUUAAGCAUGAAGAAAAAAACCAAAAGCCCUCCGACUGAGGGCUACAUGGAUUGCUAAGACACCAGAUUGGAUGCAUGAUUUUUUAAUUUGCUUAUUUACUUAUUUAUACCUUCUCCUGUUUGAUAUAAGGCAGUUCACAACCCAAAACACAAAAGACAGAGAUAAAAACUCUGGACAGGCAAAAAAGAAGGUUGUAAAUGGGACUCUCCUGAGCUCAUCCUGCCUGCUACCGGAGAGCAGCAAGUGGGGAAGGGCCUGGUGACCAGGACAAACUUCACUCCCCUGGAACAUGCAGUUCUUCCAGGGGCAAAGAGUUUUCCAAAUACUUCGUUCACAGGUCCAUUUUACACUCAAGAAUCUUCAUAAGGGAGCAAUGAGAACAGAAGUUCAAUGUCAACUUUGAGGGCGAAUACAGUUGCAGAAUUCCCAGGGCAGUGGCCAAAAGGCAAGAGAAAUAAGCACUUUGUUGAGUGUUCAUUCCAGUUACCUGGGAUGCACAGAGUCCCGCCGAGCAGGAUUCAAAGCCACGUUCAGGCUGAGCUGAAGACAGGCAGCUCGAAGUGGAGAUCACAGGUGUGUGUAACUCCUGAACUUGGCCUAGAUAAACAUGUCAAAUGAGUGGGUUUCUGGUGUCCAGUUUGAUCCACAGAGAGAACUCUUGAAGUGGACGGCAGGCAGGAUCCUCAGAUGUUUGUUGGAAAAUAGCACUUUUCUCCCUGGGGACUUUGAGAGGAGCCUGGAGGCUGAUUGGAGUUUCUCCCAAUGCUUUGGUUACCCAGGAAGCAGAUGGGGGUUGAUCGCCUUGCACUAUAGAACUGGAUUCAAGGCCCUGCCACCUCCAUACAGGGACAGGGGCCAGGCACUUCCAGAAAUUGUGAAACAGUUAUCCCCACAGGAGAGCCUUUCCAGAACUUGCACUUUCUCUUACUUUCCUGUAUUGUUAGAACUUAUAACACAUGCUAAGUUUGUAAUCAGAAAAGAAUAUAGGUACAUAUAGUACAUUUCUGUGCUGAUUUAUUUAAUGCACACAUGCCUUGUUUAACUUGGAAUCCAUUAUUAAUCAGUUGACUAUUAACUGUGGUUCAAUAGGCCACCUGGAUUAACAGUGUUGUUGGACAGCCCUAAAAAUAGCCAGAUGUGGAACAGCUGCUGAAGGUGAUACUUUCAAAAAGCAAAAUAAAUAAAUAAAAGAACACAGAUUAUUUAAGCUUCUGUUUUUUUCCUUUCUUUUCCUUUUCUUCUUUUGCCACAAGUUAUGUCAACACUCUGCAAAGGGCCAACCUUAGAGCAGGGUAAUGAGAAUCGGAAUCACAGGAACCCAUCCGUCUAACUGAACUUCAAAGAUCUAAAAUGGAUUUGCUUGGCCCACCCUUGGAACGGAGCUGAUUUUAAAAAGAUGCGUUUGGAGAGUCUAGGAUGGCCACAGAUGCUUCACGUCGUCUCCUGAGGAUGCAGCCUGGGGAUCUGGGAUCUCCACUUCUACAGUCAAGGCCACCAUAACACCCUGGCAGCUCCCUCACCAUCCAGAAAACAAGUUUUGUUUUUUUUUCUUUUCUUUUGAAAGCAUUCACUUUACUAAUGAUAACACAAGAAGUGAGAAUCCAAGAACAAAAGUCAUAUUCACAAAUGGAAUGCGCUGUGUGGAAGACAGGAAGCUCAGGUAACUUGGCAGGAUCCACAGACGGGGCCUUGCCCAUCCAGGCCUCUCCUCCUCUUUCAAUUCCGAUUCUGCUGCUCUGGAAGUGUCCAUUUCAGACGACUUUGCAACAAGAGUGAAGUUUCAAAGCCGUUUUCUGGUUAGCCUUCAAUUAACCAGAAAAUCAGAUUAAUUGUGCAUGAAUUCCUGUGUCCAGGACCGGUGUGACCCAUGGAACAGACCGAUCUGGGUAAAAGUCAGUCAUGUUGAAGCCGAGGUCUCUCACAUUUGGGGCUCCUCAGGAACAAGGGGGCCAUUCAAUCAAUCCACCUGACAUGCUGUCGCAGGCCUGUGCCUUCUGCAGGCUCUGAGCUCAAAACCAUUCUGAAAGAGGCUGUCGAUGGAGGAGAGGGAACAGCUGCUCUGUGGCAAUUAACCAGCAGUUUCUGUUGCUGAAGGAGAUUAUUUUGGAUGGCGUAAAGAGAUUCAAAUAAAAAUGUCAACGUGCCCAUUACGGAUGAAAGUUAGAAAAACUUAAGUGGCCCUGAAUUAAUCACUACUUGACAGGAAGGCGCAUAAACGAGUCCUAAAAAAACAUCCCCCCACGAAUCUCUUUUCCUGCCUUUUGGGUAAUUGUCAAGAAGCUGGUUGGGGGGUGGGGAGGGCAUUUCUUGGCUGCAACCUUAAUUCAUCUUGGAGUGAAGAUUUAAUGACAAAGUUACAAGCCCUUAAAGUAGCAUUUAUUGAGGGGCUAAUGAGAGUUCCUAAGAACCCAGGGAAAAAGAAGAACAGGCACUACACAAGAGGCCUUUGAAAAUACCGAGGGGAGAGGAGUUCAUUAGUCUUUUUUUUUUUUUUUCCUUCUUCCCCUUUCUCAACAAUGAACGUUGCUGCUGCCAAACCUUCAGGAAUAGGGCUGGUUUCCUUUCAAGUCAUUGAUGCGGGCUUCGCCUGUGCAUCGGGUCCGACAACCCUGCAACAAGAGGCAGGAAAUCUCACCCUCAAAGGGAGACUGCACAUUGCUUCCUCCCCGGGCCGGGCUGGCCCCUCACAGAAGUGGGAUUUCUGCUGUCCUUGCCAGAACGCCUCCGAUUUCCAUGCCCUCCCACGGCUAAGAUAACCCACAGGACCCUGGCCUCCGAGAACCGCGCAGAUUUCCAACUCCAGCCACGCAGCAACAAAACCGGCGGCUGUCACCCGACGUGGAGCAAAUGAGCCCCUGUCCUGCGGCGUAAAGGCGAAGAGAGUUAUUGAAGGUCCCCUGCGGAGAAGGCCCCAUUUGCCCUUGGCCUCUCUUGGCAGGUCCCCUCUGGAAUCUUCUGGGCCCUCUGGACUCGGCUUGGCUCCUCCUUCUGUCUAGGAGCACAGGAAGGAAUAGCUGGGGCCAGUCUGUUCCAAACAGAUCAAGUUUUCUUAAGUCAGGAUUUUUUUUUUUCUUAAGGGAAAGCAGAAAUGGAAAGAUGGAGUGAAGAAGACAGACGGACGGACAGCAGCGAAGUGGUGUGACUUCCAUCGGUCCCUAACCCAGUGCUCCUCCAUGGCCCUGCAUACCCCUGACGGGUUAGAAGGAGUGGAGAAGAGAUUGAGGGAAGUAAAGACUGCUGGUGGCUCAAGAUGGAGAGAAAUGUCAUGGUCCCCAAGGAGCCGCGACACGAUCUAUAAUGUACAAUUUAACUGAGGUGCAGAAAACGUGUAUUUAGAGAAUACCCUCACUGUUUCUGCGCCUUGUCAAAAAGGUACUUUUUCUCUCAGGAUAGAAAAGAAAGGAUUGGUAGUAAAAUGUCUCCAUUGGGAAAAUAAAUAUAUCAAGAGCUGUUUUCCACAGCUGCGUGAAUCUAGGAUCUGGGAGGUGGGUUCUGUUUGUGCACCCCCCCCCCCCCCCCCCGCCCGAGGUGUAUGCCCCCUGGCGCAGGAGCCCUGGUCCAAGAGCCCCACGGCCCGAUUCUGGAAGAACUGUCUGAGCGACAUCACCUGGGGAGGACCCAGGCUCAGCCAGUCCUCGGUGGGCGUACUUCUUAGAAUGUCUUUUUAAACUCAGUCACCUCCUGAAGGCUGCACAUCAGACGUUUCCCCUUCUAAGGUUGACAAAACUCAACUGGCAUCGUUUAAACAGAGUUUUUGUGCGGCUCGUGAGGAGUCUUCAGUUCCAAGGGGGAAGCUGGAAUGGAGGCUGUCAGCUCAAGUCACAAGGGAGGAAGACGCACAUUGAUCUCGUGUGGCUUUGGGAUUUGUGCUGUUGGAACUGAGAACUCUGAGGGGGACAAACAGUAAGAGCAGUCUUUACGGGAAUCAUACAGAAUGUAUGAACAUCUUAGCAGCUUUUGCUCGUGUGCCCAACAAGGGGCUAAUUCUUUGCACGCAUUUUCCUGGUUACACCAGGCAGUAUUGUUUCAAGACAGGAAUUAUGGUCUGCACUGUAAAGAUGAGCGCCCGAGGGCUCAGAGGGGUCGAUGAACAUGCCAUGCUCACACAGCUGGUAAGAGGACCAGGCAGAAUUCAAAGCGGGACUGCCCUGGGUCCAAAACUUUGUCCUUAGUCACUGUGCGAGACUUUCCCUCACUCUGACCCUACAUCCCUAUCUGACCAGCUUGGAUAACACCCUUUCUUUUUUGAAAUUAACUCUGGUCUGUCCAACACAUAUCUCUGCUCUACAAGGAAGGGAGUGUAACCAGGGAUUGCUGGUGCAUGGGUCAGAGCCAGGGCUCUGUCAUUUGGCACUUAGGGACCUUGUGCCAACUUCCCAGUAUGUGUCUUCACCCACAAGAUGGGAAUAUUAAAUAUCUCUAUGUAAUGUGAUUGUUGUAAAAUAAAAUGGCACAAUAUAUUUAACUGUAGCAUAGUUUUAGCACAUAGUAAUCAGUGGAAAUAAGGAAGGGAGGAUCAGAGAAAGAGGGAAAGGAAAAGAGAAAGAAAAGGAGAAAACCAAAAGAAGGGCCCCUUGAACAAACCCAGAGAGCUGUUCCUACAGAGGAUGCAGGAGCAUCAGGGAGAGCACACCAAGGCCUCCAAAAGCCCAGGGCAGGACCAGGGUCUCUUAGUGGCACUACUCCAAGUUGUUGACCCCGUCCUCAGACAGGCUGUCCCUGCAGGCUACCGAAGUGAUGCCCCAGCUUCUGACCUUCAAGUCUGCAGAAGUGGCGCCCUCUGUCCAGGUUGCCUGUCUGCCAGGUCACAUGCCCGUUCCUGAGCCAAUCACCAAGGCCAAGGGAAUGCCAGGUGCGGAUUGGCUCAUAUGCUUUGCUUUGUCCCUGGUUCAGGAAUGGAGUCUGCUGUCCCAGAAGCCCAUAGAUGGACAACAGAGGAGUACAUGAGACCCCAGAGGGAAAAUGGGGUGCAGUUGCCAGGAAAAAUUCGAACCUAGGAAUGUCAGGCUGAUGUCAAGCAAACAGAAUAUACAACCUUUUCUGGGCCCCUCUGGUUUCUGUUUGGUGGGUGUGGCCAAGGAGUAGUUCUCCAGGGCUGAUUUCUUGGGAGCUAACACCAGCACCAUGUUUACUAGCUGGGGCACCCUCCUUGGGUGAACCCCCUCUCUGCUUCCGUUUCUUCUCACGGAUUGCUACGUAUUUCAUGUGCACAUGUAAAGCACUUAGCAUGACAGCAGCACCUACUAAGCUCCACAGAUUUUAACCAUUCAACAUCCUGCAUUCAACACACGUUUGUUGAGUACCUACUAUGUGCCAAGACGGUGUGGGUUAGGUACUUGGGGUACAUCCGUGAACCACAAAAAUCACAAAAUCCCUUGACCCGGUGGAGUUGACACUCUAGUUCAGAAAGACAGAUAAACACUAAACAAAAUAACAAGAACAUCAUAUGGUAUGUGUAAACUGUGGGAAAAAGAAAGUAGGUGAAUAUAAAGGGGAUGGGAAGAGUUUCAGUAGAAAGGGAACGAGGUAGUCAAAAUGGCGGCACUUAAGCACAGAGUGGUUGAGUGACCAGGUCAGCAGGCUGUGGGUGCGCCAAGCAGAGGAGGCAGGCAGUACAGAGACGGUAGGUCCUGCUGUGUCUGAAGAACUGCAGGGGACACGCGAGGCUGGGGCCAAUAAAUAGGGAAGGCAAGCUGCCUGGACUGGCCUGGGGGUCAGCUAUGCCCAAGAUGGCCCUUUGGCACAUCCUCUCUUCCAGGGCUUCCAAAGUGACAAGAGCAAGCGAUUCGCAGAUUCUUGGUGUUUUAGCCACAUGUUGUGAAUGACUCCACCAAAGAGGCCUCCUCCAUUCAAGCAAAACAUCUGUCAGGAGCGCUCGGGGAAAGCUUGGGUUUCUGAAUCAGCAACCCAGGGAGAGCUUGCUGAAGACUCGGAUGACUUCUGAUUUCAGCCCGAUAAUUCCCUUCUGACACGGGAGCCCGCCGUGUUGGCACUCGGCUUGCCGAGCAUAUUUUAUGUCAUUGGAAAUCAUAAGAACUGGCAGGUGGGGCCUAAAUGAUGAGUCUAAGGCAGGAGAUUAAUGGCUCCGACGGUGAUUCUCAGGGGUGGAUGGAGUCCUGGGGGGGAUGGGGCGAGGUGGAAGGCAGAUUAUAUGGCAGGUGCUUCGAGAGCUUUAUGCCAUCUCUCAGUACCUCUCCUCUGUCCUUGGUAAGGUUUGGGCUUUCUUUGCAGAGAUCAGGAGAGAAGCUUUCCUUGAUUGAACACUCACAGAGGAGGGUGGCCCAGAGAGACCGGAAUCUGAGUUAGAUUUGCACCUGGUCAGUGCACUACAUGUUUGGGAUAGGAGAUCCCUGGAGCCAUUCAAAGAAGAAAGAUGGCUUUUUAAAUGCUCAGUGUCCCGGGUCUCUUGGAGGCCACUCCACCAUUAAGCCAAUCUGCAAAUUGUCUAAAGCCAUUUGGGAUCCAUUGAAACUUGCAACUAAUAUCUCUUAAGGUUAAUAAAUUUCCUGUGUUUUCCGACCUUUUGCUAUAUGUUUAAAAAAGAAAAGUUCUUUUUUUUUUUCCUACAGAAGUCUACCAUUUAUACUGGAACAUGCGGGAACCGCAUUGUACAGUGAGAUGGAUUUUCUCAAAGUGAACACCCUGGUGUUUUUUUGCUACAGGCAAAAGGCCCAUUACAGAACCUCAGACAUCCUCCAGGGGACACUCCUCUUCAAAAGUCUAAGACUGCAGAGUGGGCUGGGCUGAUUUUAUUUUUCAACUUCAUAAAAAUGAAUUUCUGCAGCAUGUAUUUUAUAUGUGACCUCUUUCCCUCACUACUAUGUGAAAUUAAUCCGUAUCGGCGUGGAGCAGUCGUUCAUUUCUUUGGCGAGGUUCCAUUUUAGGAAUAUACAAAUCCUACAAUAAAUUAACUGAUGGAUUUUCUCCAUCAUGUCUGACUUCUGGCUAUUAUAAAUAAAGCAGCGACACAUAUUUUUUUUGGUGGACAUCAUUGCCUUUUCUUGGAGAUAUUCCUAGGAUGGAGAUGGCUGGGUUCUCAGGGGAUGCGUAUGUCUG
rnacentral:lncRNA from 1 species